rnacentral:rRNA from 1 species
AGCGAACGCUGGCGGCAGGCCUAACACAUGCAAGUCGAACGAACCUUUCGGGGUUAGUGGCGGACGGGUGAGUAACACGUGGGAACGUGCCUUUAGGUUCGGAAUAACUCAGGGAAACUUGUGCUAAUACCGAAUGUGCCCUUCGGGGAAAGAUUUAUCGCCUUUAGAGCGGCCCGCGUCUGAUUAGCUAGUUGGUUGAGGUAAUGGCUCACCAAGGCGACGAUCAGUAGCUGGUCUGAGAGGAUGAUCAGCCACAUUGGGACUGAGACACGGCCCAAACUCCUACGGGAGGCAGCAGUGGGGAAUCUCGCGCAAUGGGCGAAAGCCUGACGCAGCCAUGCCGCGUGAAUGAUGAAGGUCUUAGGAUUGUAAAAUUCUUUCACCGGGGACGAUAAUGACGGUACCCGGAGAAGAAGCCCCGGCUAACUUCGUG